AACGUGGAUAAUCUGCCCUCAGAUGAAGAAUAAUCCCGGGAAACUGGGGCUAAUGCUUCAUAGGAGACGGGUGCUGGAAUGCUCUGUCUCUGAAAGGUCCGCCGUCUGAGGAUGAGUCUGCGUCCGAUUAGGUUGUUGUUGGGGUAACGGCCCACCAAGCCUUUGAUCGGUACGGGUUGUGGGAGCAAGAGCCCGGAGAUGGAUUCUGAGACAUGAAUCCAGGCCCUACGGGGCGCAGCAGGCGUGAAAACUUUACAAUGCGAGCAAUCGUGAUAAGGAAACCCUGAGUGCCUGUUAUCGCAGGCUGUUCUGGUGUCUAACACACACCAGGAGAAAGGGCGGGGCAAGACCGGUGCCAGCCGCCGCGGUAAUACCGGCUGCUCGAGUGAUAGCCACUUUUACUGGGCUUAAAGCGUUCGUAGCUUGGUCGUUAAGUCUCUGGGGAAAUCUUUUGGCUCAACCAAAAGGCGUCUCAGGGAAACUGGCGACCUAGGAACCGGGAGAGGUAAGACGUACUUCGGGGGUAGGAGUGAAAUCUUGUAAUC
rnacentral:rRNA from 1 species